rnacentral:rRNA from 1 species
AAUGAACGCUGGCGGCGUGCCUAAUACAUGCAAGUCGAACGAACGGACGAGAAGCUUGCUUUUCUGAUGUUAGCGGCGGACGGGUGAGUAACACGUGCAUAACCUUCCUCUAAUACUGGGAUAACUUCGGGAAACCGGAGCUACUACCGGAUCAUAUUUUCAACCGCUUGGUUCAAAAGUGAAACGCGGUCUUGCAGUCACUUAUAGAUGGAUCCGCGCUGCAUUAGCUAGUUGGUAAGGUAACGGCAUACCAAGGCAACGAUGCAUAGCCGACCUGAGAGGGUGAUCAGCCACACUGGAACUGAGACACGGUCCAGACUCCUACGGGAGGCAGCAGUAGGGAAUCUUCCGCAAUGGGCGAAAGCCUGACGGAGCAACGCCGCGUGAGUGAUGAAGGUCUUCGGAUCGUAAAGCUCUGUUAUUAGGGAAGAACAUAUGUGGAAGUAACUGUGGACAUCUUGACGGUACCCAAUGAGUAAGCAACGGCUAACUACGUG